rnacentral:lncRNA from 1 species
GGCCUUGUUUAGUUUCGAAAAGUCUAGUACUGUAGUACUUUUUUUUUUUGUUUGUGACAAAUAUUAUCCAAUCAUAGACUAACUAGGAUCAAAAGAUUCGUCUCGUGAUUUACAGCUAAACUGUGUAAUUAGUUUUUGUUUUCGUCUAUAUUUAAUAUUUCAUGCAUGUGCCAGAAGAUUCGAUGUGACGGAGAAUCUUGAAAUUUUUUUUAAUUUUCAGAGUGAACAAAAGAAGGCCCCAGAUCCCGUGGCUAGUCCACCGUGACCGUGCGACUGCCAAGCAGAAAAGCAGAGGGUCGUUUCUCGUUUCGUUGGC